rnacentral:rRNA from 1 species
UGGGGAAUUUUGCACAAUGGGGGAAACCCUGAUGCAGCGACGCCGCGUGAUUUAGAAGGCCUUCGGGUUGUAAAAAUCUUUUCUAUGGGAAGAAAAUGACAGUACCAUAGGAAUAAGGACCGGCUAAUUACGUGCCAGCAGCCGCGGUAAUACGUAAGGUCCGAGCGUUGUCCGGAAUCAUUGGGCGUAAAGGGUACGUAGGCGGGUAACCAAGUUAGAAGUGAAAUCCUAUAGCUCAACUAUAGUAAGCUUUUAAAACUGCUCAUCUUGAGGUAUGGAAGGGAAAGUGGAAUUCCUAGUGUAGCGGUGAAAUGCGCAGAUAUUAGGAGGAAUACCGGUGGCGAAGGCGACUUUCUGGCCAUAACCUGACGCUGAGGUACGAAAGCGUGGGUAGCAAACAGG